rnacentral:rRNA from 1 species
GUCCACGCCCUAAACGAUGAAUACUCGAUGUUGGCGAUAUACGGUCAGCGUCUAAGCGAAAGCGUUAAGUAUUCCACCUGGGGAGUACGCCCGCAAGGGUGAAACUCAAAGGAAUUGACGGGGGCCCGCACAAGCGGAGGAGCAUGUGGUUUAAUUCGAUGAUACGCGAGGAACCUUACCCGGGCUUGAAAGUUAGUGAAUGAAGCAGAGACGCUUCAGUCCUUCGGGACACGAAACUAGGUGCUGCAUGGCUGUCGU